rnacentral:rRNA from 1 species
GAUGAACGCUGGCGGCGUGCCUAAUACAUGCAAGUCGAGCGAACGGACGAGAAGCUUGCUUCUCUGAUGUUAGCGGCGGACGGGUGAGUAACACGUGGAUAACCUACCUAUAAGACUGGGAUAACUUCGGGAAACCGGAGCUAAUACCGGAUAAUAUUUUGAACCGCAUGGUUCAAAAGUGAAAGACGGUCUUGCUGUCACUUAUAGAUGGAUCCGCGCUGCAUUAGCUAGUUGGUAAGGUAACGGCUUACCAAGGCAACGAUGCAUGGCCGACCUGAGAGGGUGAUCGGCCACACUGGAACUGAGACACGGUCCAGACUCCUACGGGAGGCAGCAGUAGGGAAUCUUCCGCAAUGGGCGAAAGCCUGACGGAGCAACGCCGCGUGAGUGAUGAAGGUCUUCGGAUCGUAAAACUCUGUUAUUAGGGAGGAACAUAUGUGUAAGUAACUGUGCACAUCUUGACGGUACCUAAUCAGAAAGCCACGGCUAACUACGUG